GGGCAUUUUAUGCUCUGUAAUUGGAAUGAUGGGAAUGUAAAACCCUUCCAGAGUAACAAUUGGAGGGCAAGUCUGGUGCCAGCAGCCGCGGUAAUUCCAGCUCCAAUAGUGUAUAUUAGAGUUGUUGCAGUUAAAAAGCUCGUAGUUGGAUUUCUGCUGUGGUCAUCCGGUACCGCCCGUAUGGGUGCGCACCUGGUUUGGCUCCGGCUUUCUUCCUGUAGCCGUCCGCGCUUAAUUGCGUGUACUGUGUUACGGAACUUUUACUUUGAGAAAAAUAGAGUGUUUCAAGCAGGCUUGUCGCCCUGAAUACUUCAGCAUGGAAUAAUAGGAUAGGACCUUGGUUCUAUUUUGUUGGUUUCUAGGACCAAGGUAAUGAUUAAUAGGGACAUUGGG
rnacentral:rRNA from 1 species